AAUGAAUUAGUGUUUUGGGAUUUGUCUGGAAGCUUCUUUCUACACAACUGAUUUAUUCAACAACCAAAUGUUGCUAUUGCUAGCAGAAUGGCACAGUGUGAGUUAAACAGAGACACAUCACAGCUUCUGAACUGAGGGGUGCCAUGGAAGGAGACCCAAAAAGAAGCACAGAUUGGUGUCUGUUGUUGCAGGUCUCAGCCUCAUGUGACGACAUGUAGUUGCAUCAUGUUGUGGUGAAGGGAUGCAACACACUGAAGAGAAUGGGAACAUCUAAUCUGUCUUAUCGAUACUUUUAUAGCAGGAUGAUUAGUGCAGAGUGUAAAUGGACCAGAGAGUGUAUCUGAAAGGAACUCAAGUUCCUAAGCAGCAGAUCAGCUGCCAGUCAAGCAACCCUGUGUUAUCGAGCAAGGUCUCAUGUACCUGCCCUCAGAGUGAGGGAAGUAUCCCUGCAGCAAGAGGCUGCGAACCAUAAGUGAGGACUACAGAAGUCCUGCAAGGUCACUUCUGACAUAGCUGGGAAUGGAGCCCAGCUCUAAUAUGGGAGACCCAUGUCUUAGCCACAAAGCCUACACUAAGGAAAUAAAAACCCACAAGGAAGCAAAAGCCUGGUGUAAUGCUGCCACCUACUGGGAAAAAUGGAGAUGGAAGCAGCUCAGAGACAUAAUCCAAAUGUACGGGUGUGAGGGACUACAGUGGAGGGAACAAUCCACUUUGGAGCAGCCAGGAUCCCAAUGUUAACAUGUUGCAAAUAUUUGCCCAUUCGUUUAGAAGUUAAAGUCCUAGCUAUGAGCACAAUCAUAGGGGAAGACAGGAGUUGAGGAGAUGGUUCCUAUCCCCUAGCUUCCAGCCAGUUGGGAAGGGGAACAAUGCCACUGUCCCUGCCAGCAGGGUCCUGCCCCUCUGAAUGUCUCUCCAGCUAAGUCCCAGUGCCUACCCCUCCUACUAGCUCUGUUCUGCGACCUGCAAGGAGAGAGGAAGCAUUGCACUCAGCCCAGCUGGUGCAUUUCUUUCUCUUCCUGCUUAGGUGAUGCUGUGAGCAAAUCGCACUAGUGGAAUUUGGGAGGCAGGGUGUGGGAAGACAAGGACAUUUGGGCAAGGGGAAGAAACAGAGCACUCAGGAGAAAGUGGGGGAGUUUUUGCAAGAGAGGACAACAGAGCGGAAGGUAAACAAAGACAAGGGGGAAUUGUUUUGUAUUCAAGGAUAUUAACAUAACUUUUUAUCUGGGUAUAUAAUCUUGCUUCCUCCCCAUGCAGUGCUCCAUCCCUAAAACAGACCGUCCUUUGGGGCCUGCAACUCUUGAUGCUGUGCAGUAAAUUUAAAUAGAAAAACAGGGAUAAUGCCCCCAAACAGAAUUAAACACAGACAGCCUGCGUGGCCAGUAACGUCUAGAUCAAAAACAAUAGCCUACGAAAAGCAACCAACCUCCCAUUGAAUGCCAUCAGCGUUCAGUGCCCUUGGAGAAAUGAUGGGCCUAGAAAGGUAAGCCUUGAAGUUUAAUAAAUCUAGACUCUGUUGAGGGGGUGAGUGAAUUACAGAUAUAAUCCUUCUGCCAGGUGGUGUGGGGCAGCAACGGCCAGGUUCAAUAUCUAGGGGUUUCUCUUAACCUUACAAGAUAGUACUGUCUUGAGCCCACAGCCAGAAAUCUGGGAAAACUAAGCACCAUCCCUGGGCACCUCGAAGAGGCAAUAUUUCCCUACUCGCCAGCAAUGAGUCUGUGUAUUAAAAAAAAAAGAGAACUUUUAUUAAAAGGAGCGGGAACACAGCAUCAAUUUGGGGAAACAUCCUGACAAUGAUUCAAAAGUAUGCAAACAAUAAGUAAACACCUGCCCCACAGUAGCUUGGGCAGUGGUUUUUUGUCUCAGUUUCCCACUUAGAGGUGUGAGAGUCUGAUGGACGAACAUCCCCUUACCAUGCCACUCCCCAUUCCCUUCACUGCACCACAAUCCCAGUGGGUUGUCCGAGGUCAGCGAAGUCCCAGAAUUCAGGAGUGCCAUCAUGGGGUUCACCACCCACCCCUGAAAGCAGGAGGUGAGCAAUGCCUCUGCCAAUGCCCACCGCUGUCACUGUCGUCUCUGCAGCUUCUGCCUCUCAUGGCGAUGCUACACUCUGGGGUUCUGCCGCUGAGCCCAGUUCUUAGUGAUUUCAGCUCUUAGUGAAGAGUGGAGAAACUCACUGUUGCUUCAUCUGCUACAUCCUCUGCAUUGUCUUUUAUCACAACUCUCACCGCACCAGGUCUAAGGUUCAACCCCCUAGACCAGCUUAUUAGUGACUUCAGAUCUAGCAAUCACUGAACAGAAACAAGGAUUUAGAUUGAAUCUGAUCAACAUUAAACACUGGCAGGGGAGAAUCAAAUGAUAUCCUGCAC